AGCUCCUGCCACCCAGUGGCCUCUUUAGGCCAAGCUCAUGCCUCACAAGGGCCUUUCCAGGCCCAACUUUUGUCUCAUGGCAACCUUGCCUGGCCAGAUUCCUGCCUGUCUCCCAGCAGCCUAGAUAGGCCCAGGUCUUGCCUCACACUGGCCUCUCUACAUCCAGCUCAUGCCUCACGGUGGCCUCUCCAGGCCCAGUUCCUGUCCCAGGACGUCAUCUCCAGGCCCAAAACUUCCUCAAAUCAGCCUCUCUAGUCCCAACUGCUGCCUUCUGGUGGCCUAUGAAGGCCCAAAAUCUCCUCAAGUUGACCUCUCCAGGCCCAGUUCCUGCCUCCUGUCAGCAUCUACAGGCCCAACCUCUGCCUCAUGGGGGCUUCUCCAGGCCCAGCUCUUCCUCUUAGCUGAGUCUACAGGCACAACUGCUGCCUCACAACAGCCUUUUUUGGCCCAGUUCCUGUCCAGCUCACGGCGGCCAAUGUAGGCCCAAAACUUCCUCAAGUCAAACUCUCCAGGCCCACCUUCUGCUUCCCGGUGGCAUGAACAGGCCCAGCUUUGACUUGAGAAUAGCCUCUGCAGGCCCUGCUCUUGCCUCCCAGGGGCUUCUCCAGGCCCAGCUCUUGCCUCAUGGCAGCUGCCCCAGGCCAAGUUUCUGCCUGCCUGCCAGCAGCCUCAACAGGCACAGCUCCUCCCUCACAGUGGCCCAUUUAGGCCCAACUCAUGACUGUCGGGCCAUUUCCAGGCCUAGCGCCUGCCUCCUGGCUGACUCUUGAAGCCCAAAACUUCCUCGAAUCAGCCUUUUGCCCAACCUCUGCCUACUGUUGGACUCUACAGGCCAGCCUCUGCCUCACAGUGGACCCUCCAGACCCAGAUGGUGUCUCACUGUGGCAUCCUCAGGUGAAGCUCCUGCCUUUUGGCAGCCUCUACAGGCCCAGCUCCUGCCUUGCAAUGGCCUCUUUAGGCCAAGCUCAUGCCCCAUGGUGACUUUUCCAGGCACAGCUUUUGCCUUUUGCAGCCUGUCCAGGCCCAGAAUGUCCUUAACUCGGCAUCUCCAGGACGAGCUCAUCCUCCCAGUGCGUCUACAGGCCCGUCUCCUGCCUCACAACAACCUUCUUUGGCCCAACUCCUGCUGAGCUGCUGGCAGCCUCUGUAGGCCACAGACUUCUUAAAGUAAAGCUUUCCAGGCCCACCUUCGGCCUCCCGGCAGCCUCAGCAAUCAAACUAUUCCCUCACUGCGGCCACUGAAAGCCAAGUUUCUCCCUGCCUCACGGCAUCCUCCGAAAACUGAGCAUUUGCCUCACAGUGGCCUCCCCAGGCCACGAAUCUGCCUGCCUCCCAGGCAGCUGCUGCCUCACAAUGGUCUCUUUAGGCCCAGACUCUUACCACACAGU
rnacentral:lncRNA from 1 species